UACGAAGGGAGCAAACGUUGCUCGGAAUUAUUGGGCGUAAAGGGCCCGUAGGCGGCCAACUAAGUCGGAUGUGAAAUCCCCAGGCUUAACCUGGGAACUGCAUCCGAUACUGGAUGGCUUGAAUUCGGGAGAGGGAUGCAGAAUUCCAGGUGUAGCGGUGAAAUGCGUAGAUAUCUGGAGGAAUACCGGUGGCGAAGGCGGCAUCCUGGACCGACAUUGACGCUGAUGCGCGAAAGCCAGGGGAGCAAACGGG
rnacentral:rRNA from 1 species